rnacentral:rRNA from 1 species
CCCUUAGAUGUUCUGGACCGCACGCGCGCUACACUGAUGCAUUCAACGAGUUCUUCCUGGUCCGAGAGGAAUGGGUAACCUUUUGAAAGUGCAUCGUGCUAGGGAUAGACUAUUGCAAUUAUUGGUCUUCAACGAGGAAUUCCUAGUAGACGUAGUUCAUCAGACUGCAUCGAUUACGUCCCUGCCCUUUGUACACACCGCCCGUCGCUCCUACCGAUUGGAUGAUCCGGUGAGCUAUUCGGACCUGUGCAUUUUCCAUUGGAACUUGCGUGGGAAAGUCUCGCGAACCUUAUCAUCUAGAGGAAGGAGAAGUCGUAACA